GGAGGGAUCAUUACCGAGUUAUCCAACUCCCAACCCCUGUGAAUUAUACCUUUAAUUGUUGCUUCGGCGGGACUUCGCGCCCGCCGGGGACCCAAACCUUCUGAAUUUUUUAAUAAGUAUCUUCUGAGUGGUUAAAAAAAAAUGAAUCAAAACUUUCAACAACGGAUCUCUUGGUUCUGGCAUCGAUGAAGAACGCAGCGAAAUGCGAUAAGUAAUGUGAAUUGCAGAAUUCAGUGAAUCAUCGAAUCUUUGAACGCACAUUGCGCCCGUCAGUAUUCUGGCGGGCAUGCCUGUUCGAGCGUCAUUACGCCCCUCAAGUCCCCUGUGGACUUGGUGUUGGGGAUCGGCGAGGCUGGUUUUCCAGCACAGCCGUCCCUUAAAUUAAUUGGCGGUCUCGCCGUGGCCCUCCUCUGCGCAGUAGUAAAGCACUCGCAACAGGAGCCCGGCGCGGUCCACUGCCGUAAAACCCCCCAACUUUUUAUAGUUGACCUCGAAUCAGGUAGGACU
rnacentral:rRNA from 1 species